rnacentral:lncRNA from 1 species
CCCACGCCCCCGCCGCACCGGCCCAGAUCGGGCGCCUCGCCUCGGGCGCCCACGCGGAGCAGCGGCUCCCCCUUAGCAGGCGGCCGGGCCGAGCCCACUCCCCGCGCCGGAGCAGCGAGCGGCACGGCAGGUCCGAUCCUGCGUACUUCCCAGCAGUGAGUGAUGAUGAGCCCAUAGGCAAAAGGGACAGCUGUGAGAAGGAAAAUCCAACCGUGCCCAGAGGUCGAGGCGCCCGGCGCGAUCUCCCACACUCCACCACCCCGCGCACCCCGGGACUCCGGCGCUCGGCUCGCCCUUCUGCCCGACGCCCUUCCCUGUGUAGCCACCUGCACUUCUGCACACAGGUGACCAACGCGAGGAGCUCUUCUCCGGGCACGUCUUCCCUGACGCUACCUUUCUUCGCAGCGUUUGUCAGCAAGACAGCAUUCCUGCCUGAGGUGCGAGUUCCGCCCCGGGAGGGAAGCCCCGGCCUCCUGUUCCCCGCGCCGCGCAGCUCCGUGUGCUGCAGCCUGGUGCGUGGCUCCGGAUCACAGCGGGACGACGGGCCCGACACCAGGUGUUCUCCACUGCUUCCAGGUUCACGUGUACACCAUGGGAAAGGAAUUAGCAAUCAUGGAGACUACCAGAAAGUGAUCUGGAAAGAAUAAGCAAGGGUAUUUCUCGAAGAUUCAAACUUGCAAUAGAAGGCCCCACCCGCCCCUUGCAUACCCGUGACACUUUCCAGCUGCCUUCAUCUGCUUCUCCCCUGGCGUAUUGCCAGACACCGACUAUUAACAACCUCCCUUGAGUUUGGCUGCCAGUGGAUUUAGCCAAAGAGCAGUUCCAUAGGACACUGGAGUCAGGAAGAACAAAGGCAUCAGCUGCCUGGGACCCUGGUCCUGCCCUGCAGAAGCUCAUGCUACUUAGAGCAAGGCUCUGAAACAGUGCUGGUGAACCCAUGGCACACGUGCGCAGUAGGCUGUUUGAUAUUACUGAAAGCUCUAAAAGGUUUUCCAGCGCUGCUCUAAAACCAACGCUGCCCCUGCCCUGCUGAAAUACAGACUCCUCCAUCCACCAGCUGUGUGCCUGGGCCUCAGUUUCUUCAUCUGUAGAAGAGAAGUGAUUGUGGCAUCCAUCCCCUGUAAUUGCUGCCGAGGUCAUGUGAAGCCUGACAAAGAGAAUAUUACCAGGCAUGGAUGCUGUCAUGAUAUCAGACUGCUACAAUAACUGUUUUAAAAUGCUGAGGAAGAAGACAUUUUCAGGACUCUCUGGUGAGCUUUCUCUUGGAAGAAAGGAGUGGAUGCCCAGAGCAAGCAGGAUAUGGAAGAUGGAAGAUGGAAGAUGGAAGAUUCUGGAAGAUGCAGGUUAACAGCUGGAAGAAACAUUUGGAAAAGAGUCUGCAAUGGGAGAGCUGUAUAUUGUAGAAAACUUAUCACUGUGCCAUCAGAUAAAGCAAAUCUCUUUAAAAAUCAUUUUUACUAUAGCUAUUAAAAUCUAACAUCUAUUACAAUUUCUAUCAGACAGGUAUCUGCGGUUAUCAGGAUAUUGUGUUCCUCUGAGGUGGAGUAUGGCCAUCGUCACAUGGAAGUGGUCUUUAUUUCAGAGUAAAAAUAACUGGUUUUCAGUUCUCUGAGGUUCUCAAUACGUAGAGGGCAGGGAAACCAAAUUAUUCUUCAUUGAUCCCAUGUUAACUAGCACAUAAGCCCAAUAAUGGGGAGAAAUGUGGAAAAUUUUCUUUUUAUGAGAGACAUGCCUAUAGUGGAGAUCCAUUUUUAGAGUAAAAAUUAAAUUAUUAUAUGCAAGGAAACAAAAAAAGAGUGAAUGAUGUAUUAUUUAGAAUUUUAGCUUGAAGAGCAAUUUGGAUAAAAGGGACAACAGACACAAUAGGGGAGGAAAGAUAGUAGGGAACUGUUUCUUUAGGAAAAAUAACAGAGAAGAAAUUCAAAACAGGUCGUUUGGAUUCAUGCCCUUACGUUCAGUUCACAGGCACACUUAAUAAAUAAAUGCAAACUGUUAUAAUUAACAUGACAAAAGAAGAUGUUUCUAAUGAUGCUAUAAUUAUUAGAAGAAACUCCUUGUUUAACGAUUCAUUCCUCUCAUAGGAGAGAUCGGGUGUAUGUAAAUUUUCCAAAGUAAGCUAUUCAGCCCUCUCAUAUCUGUGUCUCACCCGUAUCUUACAAUAAUAAAUAUAUAGUUCAUAUUUACUGGAGACAUUAGGCCCAUGAAGCAGAGAGGGACAAGUAGCCCUUGAAAGAAAACAAAAGGACAAAGAAGUUCAUGCUAGUUAUAUGAUCACUACUAAGCAUAUCAUUGUCGCAGGUCAUAUGUUCUACAAGUUGCCACGGAAG